CGCGGUGGCUCCCGCCGACGCCGUGUGCCCCCGGAACCUCUCAUGCAUCCUCUCAGCCACACGGCCCACCAACACCAUGGCCCCCUCCUCACCAUCUCGUCCACCCCCAUCCCCAUCUUCUCCGAUGCCGACCUUGGCAAGCAUGCAGGCGACGCAUCUCCUGCCCCCUCCUCUGCGUAUUAGUCCCAGCGCCCAACAUCUCCACAGCCCCCUCCUCCUCGCCAUCUCCUCCACCCCCUUCCCCGUCUCCUGCCGCUGACCGCCACCGGCUACGUGUUGCUUCCUUGGCGGCGGCGCCUCCGCAUACCCCUCCUCCUCCUUCCCCACUGUCACUGAAGCGCCCCACGUGGAGGUGCUAUGCUUGGCUACUGCCUCUCCUUCCCAAUCCUCAUCCCUCCCACCCGUUACCCAGAGUUCAAUUCGCGCGCCCAGGUCGAAGUCUCUAGAAGCCAGUCUUGCAGAGUUGCAGUCCAAUAUAAAUCAAAUGGGUAGGCAGAUGGGACUCAAGCUGCUUGAACUACACCUCAAGAGCCACACGCUCGUCACGCCAAUCUGAAGGUGAGAAGAUAGAUGAGGCAAGAUCUUCAGAGCCAAUAUUGUUUUUCACAUAUGUUCUAAGCAAACAACUAAAGAAGGGCAUACUAUGGUUGACAAAUGAUUCCAUGGCCUAUUUGUAGAUUCGUGGUGGUGUUGUACACAAAUUCAUGUUCCCUGUGCAUAUGUAGCAAAGUGUUCAGUCAAACACGUCUACUUCGUUCUUGUUUGUCCUGGAACCAUUUAUAAAUGUGUGCUCAUGCUAUUAUAUAUAUGCUUUUUCGAUAUAUUCAUUGCUGCCAUUUAUCUUCUCAUUUAAGUUUGGUGCGCAUUCCUUCAUUGCCUCUCCUCUGGUAUCAACCUGAAUGACCACGACAAUCGCUGAAUGUCAGGUGAUCAUUGCUUUCAAUUCAUUUUUGUGUUUAUACUGAAGUGAUUUGGUGUCUGUUUUUCAGGAUAGUUUAACUUGCGAGAAAAUACUAUUGCAUUUUAAAAAGCGAUUGUGCUUGAUCUUAUAAGCAAUACUGCAUUUUAAAAAGUGUUUCUCACUAAGGAAGGUAAUUACAAUAAGCAUAAGAAUCAUCAUGUGAUUGUUUUUAGGAUAACUGAAAUAUGCAAAAAAAAAUUGCCAGAAGAUCCUGAUCUUACUAAGCACAGAGUUCUUGGCUUAAGUACCAGGCAGUAGGUGACUGGUUUUCAUGGUGUUAUAGUCAAAUCUUGCUUUAUGUAAUGUAAGAAGAGGCUGAAAGUAUGUUCUAUUAAGCAGCAAUCUAAUGAUAUAUAUAUACAGCAAAGGUUGCCUGCAAGAAGCAUUGCCUUCUGUACAUUGAGCAUUUGUUUGUAUAUCUAAGGUCAAUAAAUUGCAUUUCACAAUGACAAUUCAGAUAUGUUGUUGGUCAUUCAGCUUAGCAAUUCCAGAAGUUGUAGUUCCAGCCAAACAUCUACCUUGAUGUCGACAUCGACAGUAGUAGAGAUAAUAUACGCCAUAUAAUCUUGUAAACAUAUGUGUAGAUCAGUAUAAGUACUUUCAGUCUUCCACCUUGUGAAUUAGUCUGUCAAGCUGUGGAUGGUCAGGAGCCGCCUGAGCCCUGCAAAGAUUAUGUUCAAGCUACAGCUUGAGUCGGAAUUUGUACGGAUACAUGAAAAUGUGAUGUAUGCCGAGAAAAGGUCUGUUUGCUAUACAAUUCAAUUUUUACCUUGCAGUUGCAGUUAGAAGUUCAAACCACAACUCAAGUAUGUUGUUAAUUGACAGUGAGCAUCCACUUGCAGAAGGUUUCUGCUUGGAAGUGCUAACUGACAGUGAAAUGUAGAAAUAAGUUGCAACUUUGUAAUACCCAUCUGAUAUGUGAAACAAGAAUUGUUACUAAUUCACAAUAUGUAUCUAUGAUUGUGAGAUGGGACACCAUGUGCACAGGGGAGGCAACACAAGGUCGAGAGAAAAGCCUGUGUGGAAAGAGAUGCAACAUAUGGCCAUCAUUAGAAAUGUUAUAUUUUUGUAUAUGUUGUAAUUAUUCAUGCAAAGGUUACAAGCUUGAUGCACAAUUAUAAGUAUCUAGAGGAGUUGACGAAGAGUGGAGUUUUUUCUUGACAAUACAGAGUAUGAGUUAGGAGACGUUCAAGUGCAACUGCAGAGCAAACAUGACGGAGGUGAAGCUUUUACCGGAGAAAGUCGCGUAAAGUCUUUUUAAGGAAAAUUUGUGUUUUCUUACAGCCGUGGAGUAGGAUCCAGAUUGGUAAGGGAAGGGGCGCUAGAGCAACAAUAGUGUCCUUACCCAUUAGACUUUAAUUCUGUGUACCUCCUAAUCAUUUACCCGAUUACUAUGGAAAUAGAAGAAGAAAGUUGAGACA